AGUGACUGAAAACUAAGCUAUGCUUUCUUAAAACCCAGCAAACUGAAGCCAGACAACUUAAACUUCAGAAGACAACAACAGCAACCUAUUUACAAACAUAAACCGCUUUCAUAACUUUCUAGUCAUGUAUGGACUUCAGAGUAAUGUGGCCUAUAUCGAUUUUUCCAGGACUGUUCUUUUGUUUGUUGUUUUUUUCCCCUUUCCUCUCCGUUAUUUUCUCUUCACAGGACAUGAGACUUCACAACUUGUUAAAAAUGAGUGUUUGGGACCUACUCAUCUAGGAAUAAACCAUUCUAGCUAUGAGAAAUCAGAUGAAACCUGAGACCAGAGACUCAUUUUCUUGUAAAAUGCUUUCUCCAAAGAUUUCAAAAGAGAAAAAGGGGAAGAAAUGAAAAUAUCUUGGGCCCCUGAAAUCACUAAGGAAAACUCAAGGUGGAAACUGCUUAGGGUGAACCUGCCUCCCAUUCUAUUCAGUCACUCCUCUGCUCACUGAGAUAGAUGCAUAUCUGAUUUGCCUCAUUUGGAAAGGUUAAUGAGAAACUCAGACUGUAACCCUUUUUGUCUCACCUAUCUGUGACCUGAGUCUUCCUGCCUUUGCUUCAAGUUGUUCUGCAUUUCCAGACCAAACCAAUGUACUUCUUACAUAUAUUGAUGUCUCAUGUCUCCCUAAAUGUAUAAAACCAAGUUGUGCCCCGACCACCUUGGGCACAUGUCAUCAGGACUUCCUGAGGUUGUGUCACGGGCACAUCCUUAACCUUGGCAAAAUAAACUCUAAAUUAACUGAGGCCUGUCUCAGAUGUUACUGGUUCACACGAGUGACUCCUCUGCAUGUCUUCUGCAUUCAACAGACACACACUGAACAGGAAUUCCCUACCCCACUCCUACUGGGUAUGAAGCCAGAUGCUAGGAUUGAAGAGCUUUCAUGGGUGGAUAUACAUGGAACAAAUGUGAACACAGCAGGAUGGAGAGGGAGAAGUACCCACCAAUGCUUUGACCUGUCCUUAGUCAGUUCUCCUGGAGAUGACAGAAGCAUGUUAAGAAUGGGAAGAAGCCUGGACUUGGUGGUUCACACCUGUAAUCCCAGCACUUUGGGAGGCCAAGGCCCUUGCCAUAUUGGAGAAAUAUCAGAAAAUCCUUGAUGCGUCUCCUGGUUCAAAAGGAACUGAACAAGGAUUACAAGUAUCUGUCAACAGAGACAACUUCUGGCUAUAUUGCCCUGACUGGUCUUGAACUCUUGCCUCAAACAAUCCUCCCGCCUAGUCCUCCCAAAGUGCAAUGAUUACAGGCAUGAGCCACCAUGCCUGGCCUUGAGAUGUAUUGUACAUUAUGAUGACUACAGUUGAGAAUAAGAUAUUGUUUACUGAAACUGGCUAAGAGAGUGGAUUUGAAAUGUUUUCAUCAUAAAAGAAAGGUAAGUGUAUGAGGCAAUGCAUAUUUUAAAUAGCUUGAUUUAGCCAUUCCACAAUAUAUGCAUAUAUCAAAACACCAUUUUAUAUAUCAUAAAUAUGUAUGAUUUUUACUUGUUGAUUUAAAAAAAAGAGUAGCCCCAGUG
rnacentral:lncRNA from 13 species